AGAUAAAACCAAGUAUACUAAUUUGCUUGAUAGUUUGAAAAAGAUUGGUGGUGGAAAGCCAAGAGAACAUGUUGUUUUGAUCAUGAAAAGGUUAUUUUUGAAUCAGUUACAGUUCAAAUU
rnacentral:lncRNA from 1 species